UUGACGUCAACAUUCAAUACUUUUAUUGUGAAAAAUCUUCAUACACAUCGCCUUAAACUGUACAAUCAAUAAUUUAAAAACAAGAAAGAAAAAUGUUCAGCUUGAUGUUUAAAGAUCAUUACCUCUCUCUCACACUCACACACACAUUCACAAACACACACACACACACACUCGUUCAGCAGCUUCAGCCAAAAAGACAGGAGUAGUGUUUUACUGGUCAUUUUUCUUCGUUGUUACAAACAUUCCCACAAUCCUCUGUGAAUGUUUCUGUGGUUAUGCAAAUAAAAAACUGUGGUUGGAUGAACAAAUAACAACACACGAGGUUUAUUGUGCUGAUGUUAGGCAAAUAAAAGCCUCAGAGUGGGAGAAGAUAAAAACCUAAAAAUGUUGGCAAAGAGAUGAAACCUGAUGGUGUGAGAGCUUUUUUCCCCAUUCUUGAACUUCUGUAACAAACGUUUAAAAUACGUGUGAAAACUGCAGGAAAAGAAAAAUGCUGAACCACGCUCACACGCUCCUCAUCAGGAGGACAUGUUCUUCACUUCCUGCUGUUGUUGUGACUACGAGAGUGUUUCUGCACAUUUACUAAAAACCAUGUGAUCAUCACUGCUGAUUUCCUUUUAUUCAGCUGUGCUCUGAGUUCAAACGUAAAAGUUCCUCCAAUUAUUUACAUGCAUUUUCAUUCUGGGACUCCAUCAGAGCAGCGCCGCAUGACUCGCAGAUCAGGAAAGACCUUAUUUAUCGCCGCCCGGCCUUUCUGUCAAACAAGCUGACUUUCCUCCCGUUGCUUAAAGGCCCCACCUUCCUGAACCUUCUUCUGACUGGCUAAAGUCUGGACGACUGCUGAGAGGCAGUUUUGGGUAUUUCUGAGCUGUGCUGUCUGCAGAAAGGACUGUAUGAGGAAAUCUGCUUCUCUAAACCUUAAUCACAGCAGAAAGAGGCUGAACUUCGGCUUAAAGGGGUUACAUUUACAUAUCGUUGCCUCAUUAUUAGAACCAAUAGACAUGUUUAAUAUAGAAGUCUGGCAUUAUAACAGAAACAUGCAGAGUGCUUUAAGUGUAGUUUACAAUCCUGCAUGAAAUAUGGGGUAUGUCGAAAUCUUUAGGACUGAAAACACGAAAACAUUUAAGAUGAAUCGUCUUAAUUCACAGAGAGUGGACAUGCCUAAUAUUGUAUCUCGGACCAUCUGAUUGCACGUGGUAGCCUAAAUUACUCUGUUUCAGGCAGAGGAUGAGCUGAGGGGCUGCACCGAGGCCUGGUUUCAGAUAAAGAAGGGUUAUUUUGAACUAUGAAUCAUGCAAAGCUGCUCUGAGGGAGCUGGAAACGAGCUGAACAGGUCAGCUGUAAAUCUACGCCAUGUUUCUCCUUUAAUCAGCCACUCAUAUCUCUGCAGUUUAUCGAGAACUUAAACUCUGAAUCUUCCUUAUUUGACCUUUCAGGUGACUUGUGCGUUAUUUUAGAUGAGCAGCAUUCAGCCCAAUUGAGCUUCUAUUUUUAGAAGCUUUGCACUAAAACACUUUCAGUGAGAGACCGAGCACAGAUGCUGUUUACUGUGCUGAGAUCACUGAACAUUAAACCACCAUAAACAAGACUAAUCUCAUGGUUUAGCUAUUCUUAGAGAACAUUAGGCUGGUCCUGAGGGUGCUGCUGGAACUACAGUUGAUGUGUGUGGUGGAGGAAUAAUCUGACUCUGGAUCAGUGGGGGGCAUCAUUAAAGGCGAGAAAGGAGACAAAACAAAGCCGAGCGGAUGGAGAGGGCGCUCCCUCCGAUCGCCUGAAGAGACGCCACAAAACCUGGAACGAAGCGUGGAGAAAAAACGAUCAUCUGCAGGAUUUUAAGGCGAAGGAAAAGAAGGCAGAAGCAGAAACUGAGGAGGAAACAAACCACGCAGCGAGCAGAGAGGAAGAAAGAGACGGAGAUGAAGCUCUUCAGAGAUCUAUGAAAGGAGCAUCUAUUAUUCAGCAGCUAUGAAUCAUGGGACAGCGUGCGGAGGCGGCGGUGCAGAUCAGAGGCAGAGAGAGAAGAAGACCUGCUGCUUUGGUUCCCGUGGGAGAUCCAGUCGGAGGAGUUUGAAACGCAGCGACUCGGAAGAGUUCACGUGUUCCGGCUCGUUUCUACACGAGCGGCCGCUCGCACACGGAGGCCGACGCUGCGCUGCGCUCACAGGAGAACGAGCAGGGCGGGAACACGGACGGCAAACACGAGGCGGACGGUCAUUUAAUUCCAACCUCGUGGUCGCAGCUUAAUUCGAUUAUCAAGAGUUCACAUUUAAACGCACAGUCUGCUGUUUUUUUUUUUUUUAUUUCAAACAUCAAACAUCAGGAAAACCAACAGCAGAAAUCCUGAACACACGUCUCUAUGCCUCAGUCCUCUGAAAGGACCUGCAGCUCACUCCCACCUGACCCCUGACCCCCUCAGAGUCAGCUGAUUUCUGCUGAACGGUUUAUUUAAUGACGCCAUGCAAAGUUAAAGUUAUCCCAACUGUCACCGUGUGGGAUACGCGGCCACACGUCUGCUUUUUUCUACAUUUUGACACCGCGGUCGUCUUCUAACUCCGACUCCUUCUGGGUCAAAAUUAUUAACUAAUGUCGUUUUUGUCACUGGUGAAAGGAGCUUAUAGUUGUGACAGAAGUGAAGGCGAGAUUUUAUCUGCAGAUUGAGACUCUGAGUGGGCGGAAAACUGAUUUGGUCGCAGUUUAUCUAAAACACAUUAUUG
ensembl:lncRNA